GCUCUUACUCAGCGGAGGCCUCCGGAGCCGCCGCGAAGCCCCUCCGAGGAACCCCUUCCUUACCUGCGCAGUCCCCGCCGCACCUGUACCUGCCGCAGCCCCGCACCUGGCCGAGCCGAAGAGCUGCCGCCGGGAGCCGGCGCUUCCCUCCUUGAGCCACGCACCCAGAAGUGGAGCUGCGGGUGGGGGGUGGGGUGGGGGAGGGGAUUCUAUUUUUGGAGUUAAGUUGAGAGUAAAGGGUGUUUCUCCCUCUUAGUCCUCUUAACGUAUUCAGAGCGGAGAGGCUGGGGCAGGGGGUGAUGAGAGGGCGCAGAAAGGCCACCCGCCUCUAAAGGUCAGACUGGAGAGCUUUCCCAGCUCAACCGCAACUCCGGUAUUGUAGCCCUUUGCCGCGCCCAGCUCUGCUCCUGCUGUCCCCUUUGGCAGGCCCACCCUGGUCACAUUCCCACACACACCCGGCUGCUCUCCCCAUUUGAUUCUUGCUCCGACUGGAAGUAAGCAGGGUUUGGCGAGGAGUAGAGACAGAACAGUGUGUGUGUGUGUGUGUGUGUGUGUGUGUGCGCGCGCGCGCGUGCGUGUGUGUAUUGUGGGGACUAAAGUUACACCGCUUGCUGCCACCCUAGGUCUUUGCAAAACUAUUUCAGAAUGCCCCUAAGGGGUUAAAUUCUGUGCCGCCUUCUCCUCCUGUCAGGCUGUGCGUGGGCAAAGCCUUGGGUGGGUGAACAGGCGACAUAUGGGUGAUGUUCUGAGCCCACCGAGCCCCACCACCUGCCCUAACCCUCAGCCAUCUGACGCUGGAGUCUCCCCACACCCCGAACUUGGAGCUCAGUCCAAUCAGGCUCCUCCUCUGAGGGGCUUGGAGGUGAAGGAGAGCGGAAUUGUGGACACGGAGGGGGCAUUCUCCAGGGGGAUUCAGAAGCCAGAGGAGGAAGAGCUUUCCUAUGACCCAUAGCUGAACAGGAGCCCUCAGGCAAUUGGUGCGGAAGGAUCAGCGAAGGGGCUCGAGGUGUUGUCUCCAUCCCUUGUGGCCAAGGAAUGCAGUAGUGGAACUUUCACGCCUCGGGGUGGCCGGAGGGAGAGGAGGCAGAGAGGAGAAAGCGAGUGGAGAUGGAGAGGGGAGGGAAGGAGUCACAUUCAAGAGACCAGCUCCAGCAGGACCCUCUGCUCUUGUCCCUCAUUCAGUAAGCAUUUGCUGACUUCCUACCUGAGGCCAGGUGCCUGGGACCCAGCCCUGGGGCGGUAAGGGGCAGGUGCUGACCAGCCCAGCACUGGGGGUUGGGAGGAGCCCAUCACGAUGUCCAGGAAGGCUUCCUGGCAGAAUUGACUCUAAGUGGGGACCUGAAGGAUCAGUAGAAUUAGCCACAGGGCAGGGGGGGGAGGGGGGGAAUGAACAGCACAGGGCUCAGCAAGUGCUGGACCCAAGAGCAGAAGCAGCAGCGUGACGCACCCAGGAAACUGAAAGUAGCUCGGGUGUUCAGCACAUGGAGAGUGCAGGGGCGAGGUGAGCUGGAGAGGUAGGGAGAGAUGGCGCCAGAAGGGCCUGCCCAGGCUGCCAUGGCAACUCCUGUUACUUGGGACCAGAGCCAUCAGCCUCCGCUUGACUCAGGGCGGGGCUGCCAGAUUUAGCAAAUGAAAAUACAGGUCGCUCAGAUUUGAAUUUCAGGUAAGCCACGAAUAUCUGUCAAGUAUAAUAUAUAUCCUAGAGGUCAUGUUGUGGCUCGGCAGUAACAAACCCGACUAGCAUCCAUAAGGAUGCUGGUUCUAUCCCCGGCCUCGCUCAGUAGGUUAAGGAUCCAAUGUUCCUGUGAGCUGUGGUGUAGCCCAGCAGCUAUAGCUCCAAUUUGACUCCAGCCUGGGAACUUCCAUAAGCUGUGGGUGUAGCCCUAAAAAG
rnacentral:lncRNA from 1 species